AUGAAGGAAAAAACAAACACAGUGGAGACGUGGAAGGAGGAAAGCAGGCAUCCACAGAGACGGUUUUGCUGCUAUGAACAGCCAUGUGCCGGAUUUUGUGCGGAUGUAAAUAUCAAGGAGUAUUGGGUUAAGUACCAAGGAGCGGGACUGCUGGGUCAGAUGGUAAGCAUAUGUUUCGUUCUGUAAGAC
rnacentral:lncRNA from 1 species